rnacentral:rRNA from 1 species
UACGGAGGGGCAAGCGUUGUUCGGAAUUACUGGGCGUAAAGGGCGCGCAGGCGGCUGCUCAAGUCAGGACGUGGAAAGGCCUGGGCCUCAACCCGGGAAUUGCGCUUGAGAACUGGGCUGGCUUGAGUGCGGGAGAGGAUGGUGGAAUUCCCAGUGUAGAGGUGAAAAUUCGUAGAUAUUGGGAAGAACGACCGGUGGCGAAGGCGGCCAUCUGGACCGCAACUGACGCUGAGGCGCGGAAAGCCAGGGGAAGCCAAAGCGGGGAUUAAGAAACCCGGAGUAACGUCCAGCAC